AAGUCGAACGGUAGCAGGCCCUUAGGGGUGCUGACGAGUGGCGGACGGGUGAGUAAUGCAUAGGAAUCUGCCUUGUGGCGGGGGACAACCUGGUGAAAACCAGGCUAAUACCGCAUACGCCCUACGGGGGAAAGCGGGGGACCUUCGGGCCUCGCACCAUAAGAUGAGCCUAUGUCAGAUUAGCUAGUUGGUAGGGUAAAGGCCUACCAAGGCGACGAUCUGUAGCUGGUUUGAGAGAAUGGCCAGCCACACUGGGACUGAGACACGGCCCAGACUCC
rnacentral:rRNA from 2 species